GGUUCCCUCCGAAGUUUCCCUCAGGAUAGCUGGAGCCCAUUACGAGUUCUAUCAGGUAAAGCCAAUGAUUAGAGGCAUUGGGGACGCAACGUCCUCGACCUAUUCUCAAACUUUAAAUAGGUAGGAUUUCUCGGCUGCUUCGGUGAGCCGUGCCACGGAAUCGGGUGCUCCAAGUGGGCCAUUUUUGGUAAGCAGAACUGGCGAUGCGGGAUGAACCGGAAGCCGGGUUACGGUGCCCAACUGCGCGCUAACCUAGAACCCACAAAGG
rnacentral:ncRNA from 1 species